rnacentral:rRNA from 1 species
GAUGAACGCUGGCGGCGUGCCUAAUACAUGCCAGUCGAGCGAACGGACGAGAAGCUUGCUUUUCUGAUGUUAGCGGCGGACGGGUGAGUAACACGUGGAUAACCUACCUAUAAGACUGGGAUAACUUCGGGAAACCGGAGCUAAUACCGGAUAAUAUUUUGAACCGCAUGGUUCAAAAGUGAAAGACGGUCUUGCUGUCACUUAUAGAUGGAUCCGCGCUGCAUUAGCUAGUUGGUAAGGUAACGGCUUACCAAGGCAACGAUGCAUAGCCGACCUGAGAGGGUGAUCGGCCACACUGGGACUGAGACACGGUCCAGACUCCUACGGGAGGCAGCAGUAGGGAAUCUUCCGCAAUGGGCGAAAGCCUGACGGAGCAACGCCGCGUGAGUGAUGAAGGUCUUCGGAUCGUAAAACUCUGUUAUUAGGGAAGAACAUAUGUGUAAGUAACUGUGCACAUCUUGACGGUACCUAAUCAGAAAGCCACGGCUAACUACGUG